UGGGCUGUGCGCUGCUGUUUGGGUGUGUUACUGAAGUCCAUUCAAGUGCAUCGGUUCAAA
rnacentral:pre_miRNA from 1 species